CGCGUAGGCGGGUAUAUAAGUCAGAUGUGAAAUUCCAAAGCUCAACUUUGGAGCUGCAUUUGAAACUAUAAAUCUUGAGGAUUGACGGAGAAAACGGAAUUCCACGUGUAGCGGUGAAAUGCGUAGAUAUGUGGAAGAACACCUGUGGCGAAAGCGGUUUCCUAGUUUAUACCUGACGCUGAGGCGCGAGAGCAAGGGGAGCAAAACA
rnacentral:rRNA from 1 species